rnacentral:rRNA from 1 species
UACGUAGGUGACCAGCGUUGUCCGGAUUUACUGGGCGUAAAGAGCGCGCAGGCGGUCGUUCAAGUCGAGUGUGAAAGCCCCCGGCUCAACUGGGGAGGGUCAUUCGAUACUGAUCGACUCGAAGGCAGGAGAGGGAAGUGGAAUUCCCGGUGUAGUGGUGAAAUGCGUAGAUAUCGGGAGGAACACCAGUGGCGAAGGCGACUUACUGGACUGUAACUGACGCUGAGGCAUGAAAGCGUGGGGAGCAAACAGG